rnacentral:rRNA from 1 species
AAUGGCGAAUGAACAGGGAUUAACUCAACAUGGAAAUUUGGACCUGCGGUCUUGAAUUGUAAUCUCGAUGUGUGCUGCCAAUGUGGGUGCAGAUGUAAGCCUCUUGGGACAGAGCAUCAAUGAAGGUGAUAAUCCUGUUUGCCAUCUGCAGCCCCCAUGCACGGUGUACGCUCAAAGAGUCACGUUCCUCGGGAUUGGAGCGCAAAGUGGGUGGUAAAUUUCAUCUUAAGUUAAAUAUAGGUCUGAGACCGAUAGCAAACAAGUACCAUGAGGGAAAGGUGAAAAGGACUUUGAAAAGAGAGUUAAAAGUGCCUGAACUUGCUGAAUCGGAAGUGAAUGGGACCAGCGGUGUGUGGUGAGAUUGUUGUGCGCGAAUGUGAUUUGAGUUGCUAAAGCGAAAGUGUGGUAAUUUUCAUUGAGCUGGUUGUGUAUGGUGAUUCUUGCCCGCGGUGUCAACAUCUGCUCACAACCGAGGAACACUCCAAUUGCAUGGUAGUUCGCCUCCGGGUGUGCGAAUGUGUUUGGCAGAACUCAUGUGUGAACUGAUUCUAGCAUGUCUGGUUGCACUGCUCAUCAUUCUCAAGCCAUGGCAAGCCGUGUGUCGUGGUGGUUGGUGCAAGAGCAGAUCGCAUGACAUAAUUUUGAUGAUUUGAAUGUGCAU